rnacentral:rRNA from 1 species
CCUACGGGCGGCAGCAGUGGGGAAUAUUGGACAAUGGGGGCAACCCUGAUCCAGCCAUGCCGCGUGUGUGAAGAAGGCCCUCGGGUUGCAAAGCACUUUCAGUGAGGAAGAACGCCUGGUGGUUAAUACCCAUCAGGAAAGACAUCACUCACAGAAGAAGCACCGGCUAACUCCGUGCCAGCAGCCGCGGUAAUACGGAGGGUGCGAGCGUUAAUCGGAAUUACUGGGCGUAAAGCGCGCGUAGGUGGCUUGAUAAGCCGGUUGUGAAAGCCCCGGGCUCAACCUGGGAACGGCAUCCGGAACUGUCAAGCUAGAGUGCAGGAGAGGAAGGUAGAAUUCCCGGUGUAGCGGUGAAAUGCGUAGAGAUCGGGAGGAAUACCAGUGGCGAAGGCGGCCUUCUGGACUGACACUGACACUGAGGUGCGAAAGCGUGGGUAGCAAACAGGAUUAGAUACCCGGGUAGUC